GGCAGGCUUAACACAUGCAAGUCGAGCGCCCCGCAAGGGGAGCGGCAGACGGGUGAGUAACGCGUGGGAACCUACCUAGAGGUGCGGAAUAACUCAGGGAAACUUGAGCUAAUACCGCAUGAGCCCGAGAGGGGAAAGAUUUAUCGCCUUUAGAUGGGCCCGCGUCAGAUUAGCUAGUUGGUGAGGUAACGGCUCACCAAGGCGACGAUCUGUAGCUGGUCUGAGAGGAUGGUCAGCCACAUUGGGACUGAGACACGGCCCAAACUCCUACGGGAGGCAGCAGUGGGGAAUAUUGGACAAUGGGCGCAAGCCUGAUCCAGCCAUGCCGCGUGAGUGAUGACGGCCUUAGGGUUGUAAAGCUCUUUCGACGGGGACGAUAAUGACGGUACCCGUAGAAGAAGCCCCGGCUAACUUCGUGCCAGCAGCCGCGGUAAUACGAAGGGGGCUAGCGUUGUUCGGAAUCACUGGGCGUAAAGCGCACGUAGGCGGACUUUUAAGUCAGGGGUGAAAUCCCGAGGCUCAACCUCGGAACUGCCUUUGAUACUGGGGGUCUGGAGUCCGGAAGAGGUUGGUGGAACAGCUAGUGUAGAGGUGAAAUUCGUAGAUAUUAGCUA
rnacentral:rRNA from 1 species